CGGGAAAAGGGAAAGGCUUAGUGGCGGACGGGUGAGUAACGCGUGGGUAACCUGGCCCAUACAGGGGGAUAACACUUAGAAAUAGGUGCUAAUACCGCAUAACAACAGAAAGCGCAUGCUUUUUGUUUGAAAACCAAGGUGGUAUGGGAUGGACCCGCGUCUGAUUAGCUGGUUGGCGGGGUAAAGGCCCACCAAGGCGACGAUCAGUAGCCGGCCUGAGAGGGUGGACGGCCACAUUGGGACUGAGACACGGCCCAAACUCCUACGGAAGGCAGCAG
rnacentral:rRNA from 1 species